rnacentral:rRNA from 1 species
UGGGGAAUAUUGCGCAAUGGACGAAAGUCUGACGCAGCGACGCCGCGUGGGGGAUGACGGCCUUCGGGUUGUAAACCUCUUUCAGCAGGGACGAAGGUGACGUGUACCUGCAGAAGAAGCGCCGGCUAACUACGUGCCAGCAGCCGCGGUAAUACGUAGGGCGCAAGCGUUGUCCGGAAUUAUUGGGCGUAAAGAGCUCGUAGGUGGCUGAUCGCGUCGGAUGUGAAAGCCCAUGGCUUAACUGUGGGUCUGCAUUCGAUACGGGUCGGCUUGAGGUAGGUAGGGGCAAGCGGAAUUCCUGGUGUAGCGGUGAAAUGCGCAGAUAUCAGGAGGAACACCGGUGGCGAAGGCGGCUUGCUGGGCCUUACCUGACGCUGAGGAGCGAAAGCGUGGGGAGCGAACAGG